UGGUGAGCAUGACAUUUCAGUUUAGAAACAGCCACCAGGAUCCAAUCAUUCAGGCACCUUCUCAGUACUUGGUACACACCUCCAAAUGUACAAGUUUCAGAGCAGACAUAUGAGCAGCCUAACACGCAUACCAGCACUCUAUUGACAGAUGAAAUGCAGCAUCAUUUUGGUGAGUUUAUAAAAUGGAAAUGGAACAACAACUGUGGUCUGUAUUGUGAUGGUGUUACCUUUGAUUUUGUAACUUUGGAGCAUGGCUAUAUUUGGAGAAAAUGAACACCAAAACGAUAUGAAGAAAAUGGAAAACUGACUGCAGAUAACAAAACACAAAUAUGGAACACAAAAGGGACAAAAUGGAAGAGGAAAAGCAACUCAUGAGCCACGUAGCUGAAGAUGUUAAACAUCUUUGGGAAAAUAUGAGAAGAGAGAAAGGUAAAAUCCAAUAUUUGAAGAAAAAAGUGAGACCUGACAUGCAGAGAGUAAUUUUUGAACCAGAUGAAAUCAGAAAAAUGUUACAUACUAUCCAAGAAGACACAAAACUUUGCAAGAAACACUUUUUUGAAGAAAAGACCCAAAUGAAAUGGAUGAGUUUUCAGGCUGA